rnacentral:rRNA from 1 species
GCACUUUUAUCAGGAACGAAAAGCGUUGGAUUAAUACUCUGACGUGCUGACGGUACCUGAGGAAUAAGCACCGGCUAACUUCGUGCCAGCAGCCGCGGUAAUACGAAGGGUGCAAGCGUUAAUCGGAAUUACUGGGCGUAAAGCGUGCGUAGAUGGUUCGCUAAGUCGGAUGUGAAAGCCCCGGGCUCAACCUGGGAACUGCAUCCGAUACUGGCGGACUAGAGUGUGAUAGAGGAUGGCGGAAUUCCCGGUGUAGCGGUGAAAUGCGUAGAGAUCGGGAGGAACAUCCGUGGCGAAGGCGGCCAUCUGGAUCAACACUGACGUUGAGGCACGAAAAGCGUGGGGAGCAAAACAGGAUUAGAUACCCUGGUAGUCCACGCCCUAAAACGAUGUCGACUGGAUGUUGGGUGCAACUUGGCACUCAGUAUCGAAGCUAACGCGUUAAGUCGACCGCCUGGGGAGUACGCGCGCAAGCGUG